rnacentral:misc_RNA from 1 species
AACACGUAAUCACAACUGGGUGUUGCGGGGGUCGGGUGUGAGCCUGGUCCUCGUGAUGCUUUGCUGGCAUGCAUGCAUGGUGUUUCUUGCGAGGCACCGUGGAUGUUGUGUUGGCAUGAUAACAAACCCCCGGCACGGCAUGUGCCAAGGAAAACAAAACAUAAGAACGGCGCGUCCCGUGUUGCCCCGUUCGCGGUGUGCGCGCGGGUCGUGUCUUCUCAUAAAACCAU